rnacentral:rRNA from 1 species
CCUACGGGCGGCAGCAGUGAGGAAUAUUGGUCAAUGGACGAGAGUCUGAACCAGCCAAGUAGCGUGAAGGAUGACUGCCCUAUGGGUUGUAAACUUCUUUUAUAUGGGAAUAAAAUGUUCCACGUGUGGGAUUUUGUAUGUACCAUAUGAAUAAGGAUCGGCUAACUCCGUGCCAGCAGCUGCGGUAAUACGGAGGAUCCGAGCGUUAUCCGGAUUUAUUGGGUUUAAUGGGAGCGUAGGUGGAUUGUUAAGUCAGUUGUGAAAGUUUGCGGCUCAACCGUAAAAUUGCAGUUGAAACUGGCAGUCUUGAGUACAGUAGAGGUGGGCGGAAUUCGUGGUGUAGCGGUGAAAUGCUUAGAUAUCACGAAGAACUCCGAUUGCGAAGGCAGUUCACUGGACUGCAACUGACACUGAGGCUCGAAAGUGUGGGUAUCAAACAGGAUUAGAUACCCGGGUAGUC